GGAUCUCAAUCCAUUCAGGCUGUGUUCUGGACUCAAAGUUAUUGGCUAUUUCAUGAUCCUGAUCGUUUUUGCUAUCGUCGUACUUUCGUAUUAUGCCGUCGUCGUUCUUAUCUGGGCUCCGCGUCUCCUUGAUGGUGGCUUCACUUCCUUCUUAUCUUUCACAAUUAUUAUCAUCUUUCAUAUCCUUCUUGUAAUGCUAAUGUGGAGCUAUAUUAGGGUAGUAGUUCAGGAUCCUGGUUCUGUCCCUGAAAACUGGAAACUAG
rnacentral:misc_RNA from 1 species